rnacentral:rRNA from 1 species
UACGGAGGGUGCAAGCGUUGUCCGGAAUCACUGGGCGUAAAGCGCGCGCAGGCGGCCCGCGAGGUGUCACGUGAAAGCCCCGGGCUCAACCCGGGAGGGUCGUGGCAAACCGGCGGGCUUGAGGCCGGUAGAGGUGGGUGGAACUCCUGGUGGAGUGGUGAAAUGCGUAGAGAUCAGGAAGAACACCCGUGGCGAAGGCGGCCCACUGGGCCGGUACUGACGCUGAGGCGCGAAGGCGUGGGGAGCGAACGGG